CCCCUCCUCUCUCUCUCUCUCUCUCUCUCUUCUUCUUCAGUCUCUGCGCUCGCCGUCGUCCUCUCGCGGCUGCAACAAUGGCAGCGAGUCGCGCGCCCGCCUGCGGCUGACCAAAUGCUUUCCACGUCGCAGCGAGACGGAGAGGAAGAAGGCGACAAGGUUUCACGACGUUGCACUUGCAGGUUCAUUUAUUGGACUCCAUCGCCUCCUCUUGGAGUUGGCGUUCGCCUUUUCCUCCGCCCCGCCCCCCCCCGCACGAGAAUGCUCCGUGGCCUCCCGCAUUGCGCGAUCGAUCUCCCCCUCCUCGCUCCGAUUGUUCGGUUCCUCUCCCGCCGUGCAUCUCGGCUGCCGCUCGGCGGUUCACGAAUCCUUCGUCCGGCGAGCGCCAUGAACGGUUGGGACAGCCGCGCGAUGCUUGAUCGCUAUAUUUACGAUUAUAUGAUAAAGAAGAACAUGCACGAAACGCCAGAGAUUUUCAGAAGGGAGGCUGCUCUGGCUUCUGAGAACGCCCUUCCCGGAGGGAUAGAUGUCCCAGAGGGUUUUCUGUAUGAAUGGUGGUUGAUAUUCUAUGAGACGUUCAUGGCAAGCCAGCUAGAUAAUGGGAGUUUCUCAGGAAGUUCUCCCACAAUGAUGAUGACCUUUCCCCAAGAAACAACUGCUUCUCUGACCAGACAAUCUGUGAUGAAUGAGGAAAUGGAAAUGACAAGGGACUUAGCAAAUGAUACUAAUACCAGAUUGAUCUUUGGUGACGAUUUUAUGUGGUUGAAAGAAUGGCCUUCAACAAAAGCUGAUCAUCUCCCCCAAAAUCUCAUGCCUUUGCCCUAUCAACAGAAUCCAUCGACUUUUUCCUCAACUUUGAAUCCUGUGGUUGUCACUGAUGAUUUAAUCCCACAAGUAGGAGCACAUCUCAUGCCUCCAGGAUUGGAGAAUCAUAUCUUAAGUUCUCGGAAAGUUGAAGAUCAUAAGAAAAUCAUCAUACUUUCAGGAUUAGCUGAGAGCAGCAAAAAGAGAAAGGCUUCAUCAGAAGGAAACUCCGGCAUGCCAGGGUUCUUUUUACUACAUUCAGAUGAUACUGAAGACAAUCCUUCUGAUAUGAGUGCUGAAGCAAAUUCUUCUUAUGUUAAUGAAAUGAAUGGCGAAGCAAAGGUUUCUUCUAGCACCUCAAAAAAAUGUUCUUCAGCUUCGGAUGCAUCCAAAGAUAUCGUAAGUCCUUGAACCAAGAUGGAACCAGUAGGACAUACAUGCAAGUUCAUGGCUGGUUAAUAUUGUCCUUAUAUGCUGAAAGAGUUGCUUAUGCUGCCAUCUGAAGCUUGUGAAGUUACUCAAGCGGUGCUUGGUUUACCUUAUAUCAUAUAGACAUUUUUUUUUUGCUUGGAUGCACAGAGGCCUUUUCUGGAGGUUGUCCUUUAAUUUGCUUUAAUUUGUGAUGUUAUGACAAAAAUAAGUUAAAGCAAGGCAUAAUUGGAUAUAAAUUAAAUCUCACUUCUUUCUGCCACUUAAGAAGGAAAAAAAUCUUGACAGUGGAGGAGAGGCAAUGGUGGGAUUAAAUGCUAAUUCUAAGUACUUCUGCACUUCCUUUAGAAGUUGGCGGUUAUGGGGAUUCCAAGAAGUUGGAAUGACCCAUUUGUCUCCAGUCUAGAACUUUCAUUUUGUGCAUUCUUUCUCUCCAACCAGGAAUAUUGUGAUUGAAGCAGAUCACUCUUAAAAGAGGUGCUUCCCUAUUCUAAUUGGCUAGCAUGUCGGAAGUUAUGGAAUUUGCUGCUAUUUCUUCUCAACUUAUUGCAGCAUAAGUUUUUUCCUUCCUCGUUUCGCUCAGGUUUUUAGGUUUUUGGGGCCUCAUACCAUAAUGAGGAUCGAUUGUCUGUUCUUUUUUUAUCGGCACUAUAUCAAGGCAAUUACUUGUGUUACUCUUUGCUAUUUUCGUGGUUUGUGACACGUUUCUUUAAAGCAAAUACUGGAUAGAAGUUCAAAAAACCAUUGGUUUAGAAAUGUCAUAUGACAACUAAUUUUGAAAACUUUUGUAGUUUGUUUGCUAAACCAAUAAAGGUGGAAAAGCAAGUAAAAUAAUGUCAGUUUAGGCAAAAUGCAGGAAUUAUAAUCUAUUUUCUCCUAUAACUCCCUACCUGAUCUUAGGACUUUAAUUUUAAAAUUUGAACUAUGUAGCUUGUUCAAUCACUCUCGAUCUGAGCAAGCUAUUCCGAAGCUUGAAAGAGAAAGGUGGAGAAGAGCUCAACAAUUGUCUCAUAGACUGUGAUUCAAGAUUCUUCUUUCAUUGAAGAGGUCAUUCGUAUGCUUUCGUCUUAUCCAAAAACCUUAAUUAGAAGUUGCAUUUCUCCUAAGAAAACUUUCUAGUUGAAUUCGUCAAAUUAUUUGUGGAGGGAGGUUGCUCUCUGUAUCUAUAGUUUCUCGCAAUUCAGUUUGGGCCAUUAUUGACAUGCCAGCGGCAUUUCUCUCUCUUUUCAAGAAGCUGGUCGAUGUUCAAUUUGUAGACGAAACUCUGAAGAUUGCUAAAUGUUCUAGCCAAUCAAAUUGUCUUGUUUUUUCAUAGCAAUUUGUCUUGCCGUCUGUUAAGAGGUCUGCUUUUGUUCACAUCUAUGAAAUUCCAUGAGGGGUGAGGGUCAAUAUUAUCCUGCUUAAUUGUUAGUGGGAAGGGUAUUAGCAAUCGAGAACUUUCAUGUUUUUGAGUCAAGAGAGCCGAUAUUGAGAAGGAAAUGGACCUAGCCGUGAACAAGGAACUUCUUUAUUUCUUAUCCAUUCUAGGUGUUGUAGUGUUUCGUGCUAUCAAGAAUGCUGAUAAUAUCUUAGUUGUUCAGUCGAUGGAUAGCUUAUAUGGUAAUAUGCAUGUGGAGAAGGAAUCUCCACGUAGAAUGUGAAUAUUCAAAAUUUCUGGUCUCUGUGUUUUGGCUUUUUGUUGUUUCCUUUUUCUGGAGUGGAGAUUGCUUCUAAUUACCGUAGGAAAGUGUUGAGACACUCUUGCUAGCUUGCAUGCCGUGAAGCUUGCUUCUGGUUGAAAUGCCUUGUUAAUGUAAAUAACUUUAACGGGAUGCUGCACUCGUUUUCUCACAACUUUAAUGCAUGCUGCACUCGUUUUCUCGCGAAGUUGUCAUUUUUAAAUUCCUCAAAAUUUUGCUUGUGCAUGGAUAGCAGUUACACGAGAGCUACGUUACAAUUCCAUUGUUUGAAAAAAUUGUUUCCUGGAAAAAGGGAAGAUUGUUUCAUCUAUAACGUCAGGUAUAACUUAUCUAAUUGGCGUAGUGAACAGUUAAAACCCAGUUUCCGUCUGAAAAUAGUUCUCUUGUUUGGUCAUUCCCUCACCACUGAUUGGGAAUUACAACUUAUACUCUUUUGCUGCCAUCAAAUUUUAACUAUUUGCAGAAUAUAAAUGGUUGGAAAGACUAACCAAAAUAAAGAUAAGAGAGAUGGCAUUUGAGAGGAAGAUUAUUUGAUCCAGAAAGAGAGAUUUUUAUGCAUGUACCCAGAGCAUUCUUUCCAACUACAACACUCUUUUUUGCAGCUUAGUAAAGAAUAUACCUUUGGAAGCACUGGAAGCUGAGAAUAAUAUCCGUUUCAAGUGCUAGAAGAAACACUUGCUUCAGCAUUCUUGUUGUUAACAUAAGAAGAAGAUGCUUCAGCACGCAUGUCAGAAGGCUUCUCUGUUUACAGAGUUUCCGAAUGUCAUACACGGAAACCUGGAGCAUGGGGUUGUAUUUUUCAGUUGGGGCACUAACAUUCAUGGCUCCUUUGAAGUACUCGUUCCCUUUCCCUUUAAUGACGCACACUAUGGGAGGUCAUCAUUGGCAGGUAUAUCAGCCAAGUUCUGUCUGGAUAAUUGAGUGUUAACAUUAACAGGGAGUAAAACAUCGAAAAGUUAGCCACUGCAGUGUUUAACUCUUUGAAACUGGAUUUUAUUUAAUUAAUUAAUUAAUUUUUUUUGGGGGCGCGGGGGGGGUGUUCAUGCAGCAUAGUUUGCAUAAUUACCUUAUUUGGCCCUGAUUUGCCUAUUAUUGGUAGAAAGUUCAUUAAUACGUCUUGACACAAAUGUGCCCAGCAGAAAAAUUUUCUUGUGUGCGGAGGGGUCAAUCAAUACCUGUGACUCACACUUUUAUAUACCAUAAUGCAGAAACUUGUGUCAGGUCUUUGUAAUUUGGAGAAUUUAUUUUCCAGUAUGGAAAGAAAAUCCGACCAUGUCUAUAUGUGUCCGAUUGGGUUACACUAUACAUUAAUUGUUAUAUAUUUGGACGUAAAGGUCGAAUUAUCAUUUGCAUAUAGGAAUUUCAUAAACAAUGUCAGGUUCCUUGUGGAUAUUUCCAUAAAGUGACAGUCAGAAAAAAAGUGCAUACUGUUCUACUGUCGAGGUACGCAAUAUCUUGUGCAGUUACCAUGUGAUGCUUCAGAAAUUUGGCAAAUUAAAGUUGGUAAACGAGACUUUUCCUUGGAUGGUAGUAGGCAAGACGAGAGUUAAAAUGUCUGUCAUGGUAGUAGCAAAGAGCGAAAAUUAUUAAAAUGGUCUUUUUAUGGUCUAUAAUCUGUUUGUGUUAAUGGAUUUCAGUUUCUGCAUUAAAAUCAAUGCUUUCUGUUAGUGAUGUUAUGAAUUUCUUGAACUAGACAGUGUAUACAUAAGAUAUCUUGCUU